AGGGCGUGGUGGCUCAUGCCUGUAAUCCCAGCACUUUGGGAGGCUGAGGCGGGCAGAUCACGAGGUCAGGAGAUGGAGACUAUCCUGGCUAACACGGUGAAAACCCGUCUCUACUAAAGAUGCAAAAAAUUAGAGGGGCGUGGUGGCGGGCGCCUGUAGUCCCAGCUACUUGGGAGGCUGAGGCAGGAGAAUGGUGUGAAUCUUGUUGAGGUCAAAUUGAUCCGUUCUUUCUUUGGUGGAUUAUGCUUUUGGUGUCCUAAGAUCUCUGCAUCUAACACCAUUUUAUGACAAUUUCCCCCCUGUACAUAUAUGUAUAUACUAUACACAUCUAUGCGCACAUAUAUGUAUAUAUUAUACACAUCUAUGCGCACAUAUAUGUAUAUAUUAUACACAUCUAUGCGCACAUAUUAUAUAUUACACACAUAUAUGUAUACAUGCGUAAUUUAUAUAUACAUACAUACAUGCCUGGAUUUAUCUUGAUCUUCCCUUUGAUCUUUGCUAACUCUCUUGUUAUCCUUCAAUUAAUUAUCAGCUUAAAUUUCACCUUUUCAGAAAAUUAUUUCUUGGGCUUCCUGCCUUAGUUUGUCUUCUCAACCAUUCUCUAUCAAUUUAACCACGUCAUUUAUUUAAAUUAAACUUUUUUUGUAGAGAUGGGGUCUUGCUAUGUUGCCCAGGUUGGGCUUGAACUCCUGGCCUCAAGCAAUUCUUACAUAUUGGCCUCCCAAAGUGUUGGUAUUAUAGAUGUGAGCCACUCUGCCUGGCCCAUUUUUUUCAUAUAUCUUAUCCAAUCAUAUAAUUUGUAUUUGAAGUUUCAUUUGUACCUCUUUGUUGUGCUCUAUCAAUGCAAAAUUUAUCAAUAAGCCAGGUGUGGUGGCUCACUCCUUUAAUCCCAGCACUUUGGGAGGCCGAGGCGGGUGGAUCACAAGGUCAGGAGAUUGAGACCAUCCUGGCUGACACGGCAAAACCUUGUCUCUACUAAAAAUACAAAAAAUUAGCCGGGCGUGGUGGCAGGCACCUGUAGUCCCAGCUACUGGGGAGGCUGAGGCAGGAGAAUGGCAUGAACCCAGGAGGUGGAGCUUGCAGUGAGCCAAGAUGGCGCCACUGCACUCCAGCCUGGGCAACAGAGCCAGACUCCAUCUCAAAAAAAAAAAAAAAAAAGUUUAUAAA
rnacentral:lncRNA from 1 species